rnacentral:rRNA from 1 species
AGGACGAACGCUGGCGGCGUGCUUAACACAUGCAAGUCGAGCGGUAAGGCUCCUUUGGGGGUACACGAGCGGCGAACGGGUGAGUAACACGUGAGUAAUCUGCCCUUCACUUCGGGAUAAGCCUCAGAAAUGGGGUCUAAUACCGGAUAUGACAUUCCCGUGCAUGCGGUGGGUGUGGAAAGGUUUUUCCGGUGGGGGAUGUGCUCGCGGCCUAUCAGCUUGAUGGUGGGGUAAUGGCCUACCAUGGCUUCGACGGGUAGCCGGCCUGAGAGGGUGACCGGUCACACUGGGACUGAGACACGGCCCAGACUCCUACGGGAGGCAGCAGUGGGGAAUAUUGGACAAUGGGCGCAAGCCUGAUCCAGCCAUGCCGCGUGGAUGAUGAAGGCCUUAGGGUUGUAAAGUCCUUUUAACGGGGAAGAUAAUGACGGUACCGUAGAAUAAGCCCGGCUAACUUCGUGCCAGCAGCCGC